rnacentral:tRNA from 2 species
GCGGUCGUAGUUUAGUGGUAAAACCUCUGCCUUCCAAGCAGGUGUCCCGGGUUCGAUUCCCGGCGACCGCACCA